CCUACGGGAGGCAGCAGUAAGGAAUAUUGGUCAAUGGACGCAAGUCUGAACCAGCCAUGCCGCGUGGAGGAUGAAGGUCCUCUGGAUUGUAAACUUCUUUUAUUUGGGAAGAAACUCCCGAUUUCCAUCGGGAUUGACGGUACCAGAUGAAUAAGCACCGGCUAACUCCGUGCCAGCAGCCGCGGUAAUACGGAGGGUGCAAGCGUUAUCCGUAUACACUGGGUUUAGAGGGUCAGGAGGUGGGGUGGUAAAAGCUCCGGGCUUAACCCGGGAACUGCCAUUGAUACUAUGUGUCUUGAAUACUCUGGAGGUGAGCGGAAUAUGUCAUGUAGCGGUGAAAUGCUUAGAUAUGACAUAGAACACCCAUUGCGAAGGCAGCUCACUACGGAAAUAUUGACGCUGAGGCACGAAAGCGUGGGGAUCAAACAGGAUUAGAUACCCCGGUAGUC
rnacentral:rRNA from 1 species